GAUGAACGCUGGCGGCAGGCCUAACACAUGCAAGUCGAGCGAGCGGCGGACGGGUGAGUAAUGUAUGGGGACUGCCUGAUAGAGGGGGAUCACUACUGGAAACGGUGGAUAAUACCGCAUACUAUCGGAUAACCCAUAGGGGAUUAGCUAGUAGGUGGGGUAAAGGCUCACCUAGGCGACGAUCUCUAGCUGGUCUGAGAGGAUGAUCAGCCACACUGGGACUGAGAAACGGCCCAGACGCCUACGGAGUCAGCAGUGGGGAAUAUUGCACAAUGGGCGCAAGCCUGAUGCAGCCAUGCCGCGUGUAUGAAGAAGGCCUUAGGGUGGUAAAGUACUUUCAGCGGGGAGGCGUUACCCGCAGAAGAAGCACCGGCUAACUCCGUGCCAGCAGCCGCGGUAAUAC
rnacentral:rRNA from 1 species